CUCCCAAAGUGCUGGGAUUACAGGUGUGAGCCACUGCAUCCUGGCUCCACAUUUUUUAAAAUUUAUCUGAUCCAAUUACUUCUGUCAUGUAAUUUUCAUUUACAAGUAAUGACAUGAGCUUUCUCUUUGGGAAAUCUAAAAGCAUAGGCGGCUUCUGUCAGCUUGAUGCAGUGUCCUCACUGCCCCAUUUUUCUUUGGGCUGCUAAAGGGUACACAGACUAUGUACUAAUUGGUAAAUGUUUUAAAAACAAAGCACAGAAUUAAGAAUUGCCCUGAAUCUGUCCUCAAGGACUGAUACAAAACCUUGUUUUCAUCCUUCCAAGCUUUCUUAACUGCUUCCUAAAGUUCUUUCCUGGAAUGGGUGCCCUUGGAAUUGUUCUGAGGCUCCUAAUAGAGAUUUAUUUUGGAAUCAAACACAUAGAUGCCUCCUCUGGGAUCUACCUAAGAUAAAUUAGUGAGCACUUUUCAUUUUAUGAAUUAAGUUUAGUUUCUUAUUCCUUUUAUACGUUUGGGAUUGACUGUAAAAUUACAGCAUAUUUUGAAAAGAACCAGAGAAAAGGAGGCUUUAUAUAGUUUUAUUGUUUAAGAGUGGCUCUAACUUUAAACAGAGUGCUUUUCUGUGCAGAAAUUAGCUUUAUUGAAUUUUUUUAGAAAAACUCAUCACAAAAUAACUAUAAGAUAGCAAUAAUUACAUGUAAAACAGUGUUUAAUCAAAUUGUUCCAAAACAAAAAGCAACUCUUUACCAUAUCUUAUUUUGUAUAAUAAGGCUGUCACCCAGGGUUAUAGAAUACACCCAUUUGAAAACAUAAGUAAACAGUGUUCCACUGCCAUGCUCACGCCCUCCUUAUUUGCCAGUAUUCUUCUUUUUCCAGCUUGCCUUUAGAGCGGAAUUACUGUAUAGUAGUUUUUUCUUUGUUGUUGACCUUAUUUUUUCCUUUUUUCUUCUUUUACCUUCAUAUUCUAGAUUUGUCUUACCUAGAUUAUAGAAUGAUUAUACAUCAUAUUCAUGUACACGCAUGCAUACAUAUAUAUUUUAAUUAUUUCAUGUGAAUUUUAGUCUUUUUACUUCCUAAUCUUUUGUAAAAACAUAGAAUCACCUGUAUCUAAGUUUCUUUGAUUAACUGAAACAGAGAUAGACUAGCCUUUUGAAAAUGUACUGUUAAGAUAUAUGAUGGAAAAUGGUACUCCUGCCAAAAAAUUAAUUUAUUCAAAUAGAAUCUAGAAAAUUAUUAUAUGAGUUAAUAUAGCUUUAUUAAUUCUCCAGAUUUCACUGGUAAUGACAGAUUAUUAAUGUAAAUAAUAAUGCAUAGAGUGACCUUAUAUCCUGGCUUAUCUAGGAUAGCUCCAAUUUAUACCUAUUAUCUUAGCAUAAUUAUUAAUAAAUGACCCCUUUCUCCUUCAGAGUGUACCAGUUUGAAUGAUAAACUUGUUUAUUCUCCUUAUAUAUCCUUUGGGUAUCAGCUUAAAAAGCACUCUUUCAAAAGGAAAAUAUGAUGCUUAAUGAAAAGUAUAAAGAAAAAAAUACAUAGUUUAUUAAAGAGAAAUGUUCACUACUGAUUCUCAUGUAUACUUCUAGUCUAUUUUCUCAUAUAGAAUCUUAAAACAUAACCUAAAAUGGUCGCCUAGUUCAACCCCCUGUAUUCUUGACCUUGCAUUCUCUGCUAGAAAUUUUCAGUGAUUAAGAACUUGUUGUUUUCAAAAUAUUCCUUUGUGGAUCAGACUUUCUACCAUCGUAUUCACCAUCAUUUAGCCACAUAGUAAUUUUUGGUGAUAAUUAUCAAGCUUAUCAAAUAAAUACACAGAUUGUAACAUUUACAUUUUCUAUAAAUUUUUGCCAGAAUACUUUGGUAUAUCGUCUCUUGAAGGGGUAUAUAUUGAAAUGUUGAAUAUGUUGAAGCUGUUCACCUCUUCAGAUAGUGCUAAUUAUUAAGUCCACUAAAAGACUACAAACAUUAUACAGCCCAGCAAUAAGUAUUGAGAUUUCUGGCAAUUUUUUUUCUUUUUUUUAAAUUGAUAGAUAUUAGAUGUACAUAUUUUCAGGUAUAUGUGAUAAUCUAAUACAUUCAUAUAAUUACAGUAAUUGGAAUAGCCAUCGCCUUAAAAAUUUAUCUUUAGGAACAUUCUAGUUACUCUAGCAAAUAUCUACUUACCAUGUUCUCAUUAAUUCUCUGGUGGAUUUCUGGAAUAAUAGAGAUCUAGGUUUAGGUUAGGCUUAAGUUUAGGCUGUAGUUAGAGGAGAGUUAAAACUUCUAUUUCCAUUCCUUAGACACAAGUAAUUUGCUGUAAUGUUUUGCCUAUUACCAUGGUCUUUAAUUUCAUGCAAAGGGAAAUUAUUUAUUUCUUUUAAAACAUUAUGAAAUUACUUUUUUGGAAGUCACACUAAGUAGGCCUUUGUGACUUUCAGUAAAACUUGGUAGGUAAUGUGGAAGUGAAAUGGUUUUUUUAAUCAUAUUUAAAACUGAAUUAACAGUGCAUGUGUUUCUGAGGGGCUUAUUUUUUUUUUCUUUGGUUACCAUUUGAUGGGCUUUAUUUUUAUUUUUAUUUUUUAUUUAUUUUUUAAUUUCUGUGUUCUGGCCAUACCCAGGAGAUCCGUCUGCUUUUGAUUUCUCCCUUAAAAGUUACAUGGUAAAUUUUCUUUCUCAUUCUUCUGAGAUCGAAAAAUUUAAAAAUUAUACAAAUUUUAAUAAUAUUUUUACAAUGUUCAUUCUAUUGCUUGUUAUUUACUGCAGUCUGAGGCCAGACUAAAAAGGUGACAGUUACUUGGCUCCUAUAUAUCCUCAAUGAUAAAUGGAUGUCAAGGUAGGCUAUGAAAUUGCUGUCACAUUUUGUAGAAGUUUUAACUAAAACCGUACUACACCUCAUAAAUAUACCAUUUUUCAAAUCCAGAAGUCAGCUAAGAUACCUGGCAAAUCAUUAAUGUAACACUGGUGUGUUUAAAAGUUUAAUAUAGAAGGACUUUGAGGACUGAGAACUUGGAGGAGUAUAAAGUAUAGAGAUCUGCAUUGCCCAGUACAGUGGUCACAUUUAGCACUUGAAAUGUGGAGAGUUUAAACUGAGGUGUGCCUGUAAGGGUAAAAAUGGACACCAGACUUCAGAAUUAGCACAAAAAAAGAAUAUUAAGCAUCUCACUAAUAAUGUUUUAGUAGUGAUACCAUAUUGAAAUGUUAAUAUGUGUACAUAUUGAAUUAAAUACAUUGUCAAAAUUAA